CCCGCACAAGCGGUGGAGCAUGUGGUUUAAUUCGAAGCAACGCGAAGAACCUUACCAAAUCUUGACAUCCUUUGAAAACUCUAGAGAUAGAGCCUUCCCCUUCGGGGGACAAAGUGACAGGUGGUGCAUGGUUGUCGUCAGCUCGUGUCGUGAGAUGUUGGGUUAAGUCCCGCAACGAGCGCAACCCUUAAGCUUAGUUGCCAUCAUUAAGUUGGGCACUCUAGGUUGACUGCCGGUGACAAACCGGAGGAAGGUGGGGAUGACGUCAAAUCAUCAUGCCCCUUAUGAUUUGGGCUACACACGUGCUACAAUGGACAAUACAAAGGGCAGCUAAACCGCGAGGUCAUGCAAAUCCCAUAAAGUUGUUCUCAGUUCGGAUUGUAGUCUGCAACUCGACUACAUGAAGCUGGAAUCGCUAGUAAUCGUAGAUCAGCAUGCUACGGUGAAUACGUUCCCGGGUCUUGUACACACCGCCCGUCACACCACGAGAGUUUGUAACACCCGAAGCCGGUGGAGUAACC
rnacentral:rRNA from 1 species